rnacentral:rRNA from 1 species
UUAAGCGACUAAGCGUACACGGUGGAUGCCCUGGCAGUCAGAGGCGAUGAAGGACGUGCUAAUCUGCGAUAAGCGUCGGUAAGGUGAUAUGAACCGUUAUAACCGGCGAUUUCCGAAUGGGGAAACCCAGUGUGAUUCGUCACACUAUCAUUAACUGAAUCCAUAGGUUAAUGAGGCGAACCGGGGGAACUGAAACAUCUAAGUACCCCGAGGAAAAGAAAUCAACCGAGAUUCCCCCAGUAGCGGCGAGCGAACGGGGAGCAGCCCAGAGCCUGAAUCAGUGUGUGUGUUAGUGGAAGCGUCUGGAAAGGCGCGCGAUACAGGGUGACAGCCCCGUACACAAAAAUGCACAUGCUGUGAGCUCGAUGAGUAGGGCGGGACACGUGGUAUCCUGUCUGAAUAUGGGGGGACCAUCCUCCAAGGCUAAAUACUCCUGACUGACCGAUAGUGAACCAGUACCGUGAGGGAAAGGCGAAAAGAACCCCGGCGAGGGGAGUGAAAAAGAACCUGAAACCGUGUACGUACAAGCAGUGGGAGCACGCUUAGGCGUGUGACUGCGUACCUUUUGUAUAAUGGGUCAGCGACUUAUAUUCUGUAGCAAGGUUAACCGAAUAGGGGAGCCGAAGGGAAACCGAGUCUUAACUGGGCGUUAAGUUGCAGGGUAUAGACCCGAAACCCGGUGAUCUAGCCAUGGGCAGGUUGAAGGUUGGGUAACACUAACUGGAGGACCGAACCGACUAAUGUUGAAAAAUUAGCGGAUGACUUGUGGCUGGGGGUGAAAGGCCAAUCAAACCGGGAGAUAGCUGGUUCUCCCCGAAAGCUAUUUAGGUAGCGCCUCGUGAAUUCAUCUCCGGGGGUAGAGCACUGUUUCGGCAAGGGGGUCAUCCCGACUUACCAACCCGAUGCAAACUGCGAAUACCGGAGAAUGUUAUCACGGGAGACACACGGCGGGUGCUAACGUCCGUCGUGAAGAGGGAAACAACCCAGACCGCCAGCUAAGGUCCCAAAGUCAUGGUUAAGUGGGAAACGAUGUGGGAAGGCCCAGACAGCCAGGAUGUUGGCUUAGAAGCAGCCAUCAUUUAAAGAAAGCGUAAUAGCUCACUGGUCGAGUCGGCCUGCGCGGAAGAUGUAACGGGGCUAAACCAUGCACCGAAGCUGCGGCAGCGACGCUUAUGCGUUGUUGGGUAGGGGAGCGUUCUGUAAGCCUGCGAAGGUGUGCUGUGAGGCAUGCUGGAGGUAUCAGAAGUGCGAAUGCUGACAUAAGUAACGAUAAAGCGGGUGAAAAGCCCGCUCGCCGGAAGACCAAGGGUUCCUGUCCAACGUUAAUCGGGGCAGGGUGAGUCGACCCCUAAGGCGAGGCCGAAAGGCGUAGUCGAUGGGAAACAGGUUAAUAUUCCUGUACUUGGUGUUACUGCGAAGGGGGGACGGAGAAGGCUAUGUUGGCCGGGCGACGGUUGUCCCGGUUUAAGCGUGUAGGCUGGUUUUCCAGGCAAAUCCGGAAAAUCAAGGCUGAGGCGUGAUGACGAGGCACUACGGUGCUGAAGCAACAAAUGCCCUGCUUCCAGGAAAAGCCUCUAAGCAUCAGGUAACAUCAAAUCGUACCCCAAACCGACACAGGUGGUCAGGUAGAGAAUACCAAGGCGCUUGAGAGAACUCGGGUGAAGGAACUAGGCAAAAUGGUGCCGUAACUUCGGGAGAAGGCACGCUGAUAUGUAGGUGAAGUCCCUCGCGGAUGGAGCUGAAAUCAGUCGAAGAUACCAGCUGGCUGCAACUGUUUAUUAAAAACACAGCACUGUGCAAACACGAAAGUGGACGUAUACGGUGUGACGCCUGCCCGGUGCCGGAAGGUUAAUUGAUGGGGUCAGCGCAAGCGAAGCUCUUGAUCGAAGCCCCGGUAAACGGCGGCCGUAACUAUAACGGUCCUAAGGUAGCGAAAUUCCUUGUCGGGUAAGUUCCGACCUGCACGAAUGGCGUAAUGAUGGCCAGGCUGUCUCCACCCGAGACUCAGUGAAAUUGAACUCGCUGUGAAGAUGCAGUGUACCCGCGGCAAGACGGAAAGACCCCGUGAACCUUUACUAUAGCUUGACACUGAACAUUGAGCCUUGAUGUGUAGGAUAGGUGGGAGGCUUUGAAGUGUGGACGCCAGUCUGCAUGGAGCCGACCUUGAAAUACCACCCUUUAAUGUUUGAUGUUCUAACGUGGACCCGUGAUCCGGGUUGCGGACAGUGUCUGGUGGGUAGUUUGACUGGGGCGGUCUCCUCCUAAAGAGUAACGGAGGAGCACGAAGGUUGGCUAAUCCUGGUCGGACAUCAGGAGGUUAGUGCAAUGGCAUAAGCCAGCUUGACUGCGAGCGUGACGGCGCGAGCAGGUGCGAAAGCAGGUCAUAGUGAUCCGGUGGUUCUGAAUGGAAGGGCCAUCGCUCAACGGAUAAAAGGUACUCCGGGGAUAACAGGCUGAUACCGCCCAAGAGUUCAUAUCGACGGCGGUGUUUGGCACCUCGAUGUCGGCUCAUCACAUCCUGGGGCUGAAGUAGGUCCCAAGGGUAUGGCUGUUCGCCAUUUAAAGUGGUACGCGAGCUGGGUUUAGAACGUCGUGAGACAGUUCGGUCCCUAUCUGCCGUGGGCGCUGGAGAACUGAGGGGGGCUGCUCCUAGUACGAGAGGACCGGAGUGGACGCAUCACUGGUGUUCGGGUUGUCAUGCCAAUGGCACUGCCCGGUAGCUAAAUGCGGAAGAGAUAAGUGCUGAAAGCAUCUAAGCACGAAACUUGCCCCGAGAUGAGUUCUCCCUGACCCUUUAAGGGUCCUGAAGGAACGUUGAAGACGACGACGUUGAUAGGCCGGGUGUGUAAGCGCAGCGAUGCGUUGAGCUAACCGGUACUAAUGAACCGUGAGGCUUAACCU